rnacentral:tRNA from 1 species
AAGGAUUUAAGUUAAAUCUAAACUAAUAGCCUUCAAAGCUGUAAAUAGAACGGGCGUUCUAAGCCUUA